UUGAGCCGUAUGAGGGGAAACUCUCACGUACGGUUCUUAGGGGGGAAGGCGGGAGCAAUCCCGCUGACCUACCCGAC
rfam:Sphingobacterium sp. ACCC 05744 h2665, whole genome shotgun sequence.